rnacentral:rRNA from 1 species
UACGAAGGGGGCUAGCGUUGUUCGGAAUUACUGGGCGUAAAGCGCGCGUAGGCGGUGAUCUUUGUCAGAGGUGAAGCCUGGGGCUCAACUCCAGAAUUGCCUUUGAAACGGGAUCGCUUGAGUCCGAGAGAGGAUGGCGGAAUUCCUAGUGUAGAGGUGAAAUUCGUAGAUAUUAGGAAGAACACCGGUGGCGAAGGCGGCCAUCUGGCUCGGUACUGACGCUCAGGCGCGAAAGCGUGGGGAGCAAACAGGG